GACGGAGGAUGCAAGCGUUAUCCGGAAUUAUUGGGCGUAAAGCGUCCGUAGGCGGUUUCAAGAGUCUGUUGUUAAAGCCCACAGCUCAACUGUGGAUCGGCAAUGGAAACUGUGAGACUAGAGAGUGGUAGGGGUAGAGGGAAUUCCCGGUGUAGCAGUGAAAUGCGUAGAGAUCGGGAGGAACAUCAGUUGCGAAGGCGGCUCUCUGGACCAGCACUGACACUGAGGCACGAAAGCGUGGGGAGCAAACAGG
rnacentral:rRNA from 1 species